UACGUAGGCAGCAAGCGUUGUUCGGAGUUACUGGGCGUAAAGAGUGCGUAGGCGGUCCUGUAAGUUUGGUGUGAAAUCUCCCGGCUCAACUGGGAGGGUGCGCCGAAGACUGCAGGGCUUGAGUAUGGGAGAGGUAAGCGGAAUUCCUGGUGUAGCGGUGAAAUGCGUAGAUAUCAGGAGGAACACCUGUGGUGUAGACAGCUUACUGGACCAUAACUGACGCUGAGGCACGAAAGCGUGGGUAGCAAACAGGAUUAGAUACCCUGGUAGUCCACGCCCUAAACGAUGCAUACUUGGUGUGAGCCAUUCAUUUGGUUCGUGCCGGAGCUAACGCGUUAAGUAUGCCGCCUGGGGAGUACGGUCGCAAGGCUGAA
rnacentral:rRNA from 1 species